GCAUAUUUAACACAUGAUAUCCAUCUAUGUCAACCACAUAUAUAGUUACAAAAAAAUUAUAUAUCAACACUACCUUUGUCAACCAUGAAAUCCACCCCUCACAAUUGACAUAAUGAAUUCCAUUUUGUCAUGGUCAUUACAUAGUGUUUUAAAAAUCUCGGCACUAUUUGGUUCAUUUAAAAACUUCUUCAUUAACUCAAUUCAAUCAUGAA
rnacentral:lncRNA from 1 species